rnacentral:rRNA from 1 species
UCGAGAAUUUUUCUCAAUGGGGGAAACCCUGAAGGAGCGACGCCGCGUGGAGGAUGAAGGUCUUCGGGUUGUAAACUCCUGUCAUUUGGGAACAAGGUGUGCGCGUUAACUGCGCGCGCAUUGAUAGUACCAGAAGAGGAAGAGACGGCUAACUCUGUGCCAGCAGCCGCGGUAAUACAGAGGUCUCAAGCGUUGUUCGGAUUCAUUGGGCGUAAAGGGUGCGUAGGCGGCGCGGUAAGUCGGAUGUGAAAUCUCGGAGCUUAACUUCGAAACUGCAUUCGAUACUGCCGUGCUUGAGGACUGGAGAGGAGACUGGAAUUUACGGUGUAGCGGUGAAAUGCGUAGAUAUCGUAAGGAAGACCAGUGGCGAAGGCGGGUCUCUGGACAGUUCCUGACGCUGAGGCACGAAGGCCAGGGGAGCAAACGG